AGAAAAAACCUGGUAUUAACAACUCCUAUUUGAGCAGCACUUUACAGUGUGCAAAGAGCUUUCACAACCUUCACUCUUCUCACGCCCACAACACUGCUGUGAACAAUUUUGUGGCAUUUGCAUUUUCUAUAUCAAGAAACAGAGGACUCACCCCCAGGUUGAACAAUGAAUCAAGGUUAAGGCCAAGAUCCUGGUCCUGUUUCUUCUGACUCCAAAUCCUGGACUUUACUCAGCACCGCCCUGGCAAACCAGUUGAAGACCCAGAGGCCAGAGAAGCAAAGAAAGUUGUCCAAGAUCACAGAGCUACUCAAUGGCAAAACUAGACCCGGAAUCCAGACGUCAGGCCAGGGGCUUUUUACAGCCUCUCCAUGUUCUGGAACAGGGUUAGCAAAGCUACUUAAACAGCAAAUGUUCAGGAAGGGAAAUGGCAACACUUCCCAGAAUUCAAGCUGAAGCAAAACACAGAUGACAGAUCAGACGGGCACCUCAUCCAUGAGAGGGAGAGACGGUCGCCAGGGGUCGCUGAGGAAAUUGCUUAUCUGUAAAUAAGAGAGUGAGGUAGGAAACAUCUCGUCUCUGAAAAAAGAGCAUAUUUCCAAACGGAAUUAUAUGUAAAGACUCAAGAGUGUGAGCUGAUGAAGAAAGGUGUUCAUUGAAAUGUG